GGUUGCCAUUGGUUCUGCCCUCAAGUCGAGGGAUGGCAGCGAAGGGGGCGGAGCUCACGAGGGAGUCAAUUGGUCCGCAGGAGCCCACCAAGGGAGAGGAGCUGGCAGGCGUGCAAACGUGCACCCUGCAGCCCCCAGCCGGGAGUCAGGAGGCAGCUACCCGGAAGCUCACGAGGCCUGCAGGGGGCGAGGGGCGCUCGUGGCGCUCGUGGCGCUCGUGGUGCCCGGGGCGUUGGCACAGCACCCGCGCCUGCGUCGCUGUCUCAGAUGCGGUGAGGAGGAUUCAGUGUCGCGACCAUUCAACAGCUGGCCUCGCCCGCAGCAGUCUCAGAGAGCGACCAGGAGGGUUGAUCGUUGACGCU
rnacentral:lncRNA from 1 species